GACGAACGCUGGCGGCGUGCUUAACACAUGCAAGUCGAACGGAAAGGCCCUGCUUGCUGGGUACUCGAGUGGCGAACGGGUGAGUAACACGUGGGUGAUCUGCACUGCACUUCGGGAUAAGCCUGGGAAACUGGGUCUAAUCCCGGAUAGGAUCCAUUUUUAGUGCGAUGGUUGGAAAGUUUUUUCGGUGUAGGAUGAGCUCGCGGCCUAUCAGCUUGUUGGUGGGGUAAUGGCCUACCAAGGCGGCGACGGGGAGCCGGCCUGAGAGGGUGGACGGCGACACUGGGACUGAGGUACGGCCCAGACUCCUACGGGUGGCAGCAGUGGGGAAUAUUGCACAAUGGGCGCAAGCCUGAUGCAGCGACGCCGCGUGGUGGAUGACGGCCUUCGGGUUGUGAACUCCUUUCGCUAGGGACGAAGCUUUUUGUGACGGUACCUAGAUAAGAAGCACCGGCUAACUACGUG
rnacentral:rRNA from 1 species